AUUCCCCUCUGGGAAUUCCUUGUAAUCACACGAGCACGCCAUUGUAACCAGAAAUUAUUGAAAUGAAAAGUGUCAUACAUUUUUGGACUGUCUUUCUGGCAUUGUCGUUCUACUGGUAAUACAUCCGCAGGUUAGCGGAAUUCCAGCUCCUUGGAAUUUUCCGACCAUCUAGGGCCUCCAACUGGUAGGAGCCAGGUCGGUUUACCCAGCGAACCCUAUACGGGCCUUCCCAAUUUGG
rnacentral:lncRNA from 1 species